AUGGAUUGGAACCCUCAAGUGUUGUGCUGGAACGUUAGGGGACUCAACAAUCCCGCCAAGAGAAACGCUGUCCGGGAGUUUGUAGUUGAAGCUAAGGUUAAUCUUGUAUGUCUCCAAGAGACAAAAAUUGAAGUUUUUGACCCGUAUUUGGUAAUGCAAUGCAUUGGACCAUCUUUUGAUGGGUUCUCUUACUUACCUGCGUUGGACACUAGGGGUGGCAUCCUCUUGGGGUGGAACAAUGCGUAUUUAGCAAUCAACAACAUCACUUGCGACACAAAUUUCUUCUCCGGUUUGGUUCAUAGCAAGGAUGGCUCAGAAUGGUGGUUGUCGGCGGUGUACGCCCCCCAAGGGGACGAGCUCAAGACUCAGUUUCUUGUUGAGCUACAAUACAGAAGGGAUGUGUCCCCGGGGCCAUGGAUGGUACUAGGUGACUUCAAUAUGAUCAUUCGCGUGAACGAGAAGAGAAAUUCUAACCUCAACAGGGGCAUGAUGAGGAAAUUUAAGGCGUUUGUGGAUAACAACGAGCUGAAGGAGUUAUACAUGCAUGGUAGGCAUUUCACUUGGUCCAAUGAAAGAGAACAGUUGGUGAUGACUAAGAUUGACCGGGUAAUUGUCUCAAUGGAUUGGAAGCUCAACUUUCCGGAUGUGCCGCUUCAAGCUCUCGCCUCUAAUAUCUCGGAUCACAUGCCACUUCAUCUGUCUACCUUUGCCCCAUUCUGUCCAAAGCACAAGUUUCGGUUUGAGAUCUGUUGGACUCGUUUGGAGGGUUUCGAUCAAGCUGUGAAAGACGCCUAG
rnacentral:rRNA from 1 species